rnacentral:misc_RNA from 1 species
GAUCACGUCACAUUUUCCUGUCUGUGCCAAAGAAAAGAGCAAACCAUCAAGCGCAACACUUUUCUACAGACUUCUCGACGCACAUAAACGCAGACAAAAAUCGAAAGUCGCACAACCAAAUCCUCCACAGCGUAGCAUCCGCAAGAACGAAUCAACGAGAUUCUGUCUUCGUCGCCACUGCUGCCGCUCCAGUCUCUCCGUCUAGGCAUACAAACGCGCGUGCGGCGUACGUGCAUAUUGCAUCUUAUAUGUGUUUUUUCUUUCCUCCAUCCACUGUGUUUCAUCCCCCCACUCUUUGGGCUGUUCUGCUCAACAGCUCUUAUUUUGUCUUCUACUUGUGAGUAGAAGUUCUUUGUUCCGCCGUCUUCUACCUUUCUCCGAGGCCGCCUGUUUUCAGCCUGGCCUUGCGUCCGGGUGGCUGCACCGCCUCGACUGCUCGCUCACUGCGGCUACUUUCGUAUUGCACGCAGUUUCCUUUCUUGUUGGAGCGUGCAUGUACGUUUCGUCGCGAAGCAAGCUCCCGCACAGCCCAGUUACUCGUCCCUUGGCACUCCGCUCUCCGUAUUGAGGCGUGCACGAGAGUUGCCGUGUCACCUGUGAUACCAGCUCUCCCUGGAGCGAAGGUGCUGCCGCAGAAAACACACCCACACCGACAGACGCUUUACAAAGAAUUGUAGGAGUGGUAACCCACUGCCUCAGCGAUAGAGCGGAGAGGAAGGAGGGCAACACCAAGAGAGCCUGGAGCAGGCAGCAUCAAUACCGCACGCGCUGCAGCAUCCGCCUCCCUCUCGAGAACGGAAACUUUGUGGCAGACCACAGCGACAUUUCAACGUCAUUGCGGGACACGGGCGCAGCCGUACCAGGGACACGCCUUCCCCCUGCCCACGCACGCAUACCCGUUUGAUCGACGCUCGCGCUUUUUGUGUUUCCAGGCGUGCUCGUGUGGGCUACUUAAAGUUGUGGAACGUGGCUUGCAAAGGACCAGGGCGCGCAAGGCAUAGAGACGAUGGGCGUAGACUAUUACAAGGUGCUUGGCGUCGGCCGCAACGCCACGCCAAAUGAGAUCAAGAAAGCGUACCACCAGCUCGCUCUCAAGUAUCACCCCGACAAGAACGCUGACAACCGUGAAAAGGCCGAGCGCAAGUUCAAAGAGGUGAGCGAGGCGUAUGACGUGCUCAGCGACGAGAAGAAGAAAAAGAUCUACGACCUCUAUGGCGAGGAGGGCUUGAAGGGUGGAAUACCGGAGGACGGUGGCUCCGGUACGGGCGGCGCAGGCAUGCGCUUUGGCGGCAUGCCGGGUGGUAUGCCAGGCGGCGUCCGCGGCGCCACGUACCAGUUCUCCAGCACGGACGCCUUCAAGAUCUUUAAUCAGUUCUUCGGCACGUCGGACCCGUUCGCCGGGGGAGAGGCCUUUGGCGGCGGUGGCCCGGGCCUCCAUCGCGUUUUUCGCGGCUUCGGUGGCCCGGAGGGAUUCGCGUCGAGCUUUGGCACCCCACAGUCGUCUCCGACGUGCGACGUGCCGCCGAUGGAGUACACGUUCGCUUGCACGCUGGAGGAAAUCUACACUGGCUGCACAAAGAAGUUCAACGUGUCGCGCAACAUGCCAUCUGGGCCGGAGAAGAAAAUGUUUGAGGUGAAGGUGCUGCCGGGGUACAAGAAGGGCACGAAGAUCCGCUUUGAGCGCGAGGGCGGGCAAGUUGAGGGUUACCCGCCAAACGUACUCGCAGACAUGGUCUUUAUCUUGGACGAGCGGCCACACCCACGGUUUGAGCGACGCGACGCGGACCUUCACACGACCUUGCACAUCAACCUCAAGCAGGCUCUGCUCGGCAGCACCGUGUUCGUAAAAGGCAUUGACGGCCAGACAAUCUCCCUGCCUCUUAAUGGCAUCAGCAAAAGUGGUCGCAAGCUGCGCGUAUCGGGAUCCGGGUUGCCUGACCGCAAGACGAAUCGCAACGGCGACAUGUACGUCACCAUCGCCGUUGACUUUCCCGACUCGCUGACCGAAGACACAAAACGUUUGAUUGAGAAGUGUACCUUCUAGCCUGGUUGCGGGUAUUGGCGUGUGCGUUCAGUGUGAGAGAGGAGGGUGGUAGGUCGGACUGCAGACAGCACCGGUCACGUCUGACACGAGUUCACCGGUCGGCGUUCUUGGUAGACACCUUCGCGACAAUGCUCCCAUCCUCGUCCUCCACAGCUACCUCGGAUGCUUGAUAUAUAGGGGCGCAGCGUGGUGUUAUACGCAAGCAACCUUUCCUGUACGCGCGAUACGUGGGCAAUGGAUCGUGCCUGCCGCCAUCUCGCCAGCAUCCGCGAAUCUUUUCCCUACCAUAAAGUAUCAUAUAUAUAUAUUUUCGUAUACACAUCUCGCAAGAGAGUCGCAUCAACGUGCACAAC